GCUUGUCUCAAAGAUUAAGCCAUGCAUGUCUUAGUGUAAAUAACUCUUAUGAAACUGCGAAUGGCUCAUUAAAUCAGUUAUCGUUUAUUUGAUGGUCCCUUACUACAUGGAUAACCGUAGUAAUUCUAGAGCUAAUACAUGCACAAAGGCCCGACUCACGAAGGGCUGUAUUUAUUAGAUUUAAAGCCGACAUCUUUUGGUGAUUCAUAAUAACUGUGCGGAUCGCGUUUUACGCGAUAAAUCGAUUGAGUUUCUGCCCUAUCAGCUUUGGAUGGUAGGAUAUGGGCCUACCAUGGCAUUAACGGGUAACGGGGAAUUAGGGUUUGAUUCCGGAGAGGGAGCCUUAGAAACGGCUACCACAUCCAAGGAAGGCAGCAGG
rnacentral:rRNA from 1 species